rnacentral:siRNA from 1 species
UAGAAGUAUUUGGGGACGCGGAUG